ACCCUUUUCCAGUUUAUAAGCAUAAUUAUUGGGUUCUCACCUGCUUGUGUGACCUCUGCCUCUCUCUAAUCUUGUUACAAUAUGAGCACAUUACCUGUCUGAUG